rnacentral:lncRNA from 1 species
GAAUACAAGGCAUUUCAACAGGCACCAGGUCUUCAAGUGCAGCCUGAAGCAGGACCAACCCCCAAGUACUUCAUCCUCUGGCCACCAUGGGGGCUAGGACAACUUUAUCUUCUUUCUGGGUUUGCACUCUUUUGCCGAGACAGGGAUUUUGUCCCCAGGAGGCAUUCCCCAGCCCAUGGGAUCUCAGCAUUCAAAGCAGCACAGGAAACCUGGGCCCCUGAAACGGGGCCACCGAAGAGAUCGGAGAACAACCAGGAGGAAGUACUGGAAGGAAGGAAGGGAGAUCGCUGGGUGAGCUGUCAGGGAAGGAGGGAAGGGAGGAUCAUCUUCAGGGGAUUGUGAGGGGAGGUGUGG